CUACCGGGGUUUCUAAUCCUGUUUGAUCCCCACGCCUUCGUGCAUGAGCGUCAGUUAUGGUUUAGUAAGCUGCCUGCGCAAUCGGUGUUCUUUGUGAUAUCUAUGCAUUUCACCGCUACACCACAAAUUCCGCCUACUUCAUCCACACUCAAGCUUGCCAGUUUCGAAGGCUCUUUUACAGUUGAGCUGCAAAAUUUCACCGCCGACUUAACAUGCCGCCUGCGCACCCUUUAAACCCAAUAAAUCCGGAUAACGCUCGGAUCCUCCGUAUUACCGCGGCUGCUGGCAC
rnacentral:rRNA from 1 species